AUAGAACGCUGGCGGCAUGCCUUACACAUGCAAGUCGAACGGCAGCACGGGUGCUUGCACCUGGUGGCGAGUGGCGAACGGGUGAGUAAUACAUCGGAACGUACCUUAUCGUGGGGGAUAACGCAGCGAAAGCUGUGCUAAUACCGCAUACGCCCUGAGGGGGAAAGCGGGGGAUCGCAAGACCUCGCGCGAUUAGAGCGGCCGAUGCCUGAUUAGCUUGUUGGUGGGGUAAAAGCCCACCAAGGCGACGAUCAGUAGCUGGUCUGAGAGGACGAUCAGCCACACUGGGACUGAGACACGGCCCAGACUCCUACGGGAGGCAGCAGUGGGGAAUUUUGGACAAUGGGGGCAACCCUGAUCCAGCAAUGCCGCGUGAGUGAAGAAGGCCUUCGGGUUGUAAAGCUCUUUUGUCAGGGAAGAAACACCGGCUCUAACACAGUCCGGGAAUGACGGUACCUGAAGAAUAAGCACCGGUUAACUACGUGCCAGCCGCCGCGGUAA
rnacentral:rRNA from 1 species